GGGCGGGCCCCGGGCCUGGCAACACCAGCAGCAUGCUGUCCGACUGCAGCAGGUGGUAACCGGAGCCGCUCGGCGCCAGCCGAUCCCACCACCAGUCCUCCGCCGAGCGGCUCUGCGCCCCGGCCAGCGGCAAGAUCCGGACCCUUUGCCGCGCCCGCCUGCGGGCCACAACCGGCGCCAUAGCCACUCGCUGCGUUCCGGGUUCCGCCCAGGGAGAGCGGAAAAGGCGGCUCCUGUGGCGGAAGGGGUGGGGCCGGCGGAGGCGCGGCUUGCCGCGGGGGGCGGGGUCAGGGCCACGGGCAGGCCCUCCCGGCCCCCGAACUCCCCACUCGAUUUCCGGAGCGGGAUAUCAGGCGCUGGGGCGCGCCGGCGGGUGGUUUCUCCGAGUCCCGGCGGGUGAGUUGGAGUCCUCGCUCCCUCUCGGCUGCGUUUUCCGGCCCCACCGGUUCUGGGCUGGAGCCUCGACCCUGGGCCGGAGGCAGCGCCCUCGAAGUGUGGCGGGACGGCCGGUCGCCGGGUCAGGGAGCGCGCGGGUUCAGGACCGGGAGGCGCAGGCACCCCAGAGCACCGGUCGGCUCUCCGCCCCCCCGCUGACGCAGCGAGGGGCGGUGCCCGCCGCGGCCACACCCCCAGCCCCGACUUGGCUCCGCUGUCCGGGGUCUCGCAGAAGCCGCGGAGGUGUGCUUGGCGCCUGAGAGGUGGACCUGUCCAGGAGUCCUUGUCCCGUAUCCGUGGGGGUGGGGAAAGAAGAGCUGGCUGUGACCUUUGCCCUGUCUUGGAGGCUCCAGCCUUGGGCUAAAUGGCAGCACCCCCGCUGGGCCGUCUGGUGCUGACCCACGUGCUGGUAGCCCUCUUUGGCAUGGGCUCAUGGGCUACCAUCAACGGGAUCUGGGUGGAGCUGCCUGUGGUGGUGAAAGACCUCCCCGAGGGUUGGAGUCUCCCCUCCUACCUCUCUGUGCUUGUGGCGUUGGGGAACCUGGGUGUGCUGGCGGUGACCCUGUGGAGGCGGCUGGCCCCGGACAAGGGCGAGCGGACCCCCAUCCAAGUGGUGCAGGCGCUGAGCGUGGUGGGCACGGCCCUGUUGGCCCCUCUGUGGCCCCACGUGGCGACAGUGGCGGGGCAGGAGCACUCCGUGGCCUUCCUUGCUCUCUCCUUCGUGCUGGCGCUGGCCUGUUGUGCUUCGAAUGUCACUUUCCUGCCCUUCCUGAGCCGCUUGCCGCCUUCCUUCUUGCGGUCCUUCUUCCUAGGUCAGGGCCUCAGUGCCCUGCUGCCCUGUGUGCUGGCCCUAGUGCAGGGUGUGGGUCGCCUCGAGUGCCCACCAACCCCCACCAAUGGCACUCCUGGGCCCCCCAUUGACUUCCCAGAGCGUUUUCCUGCCAGCACUUUUUUUGGGGUCUUGUCCGCCUUAUUAGUCGUUUCAGCUGCCGCCUUUCAGGGUCUUCUGGUGCUAUUGCCGUCAGCACCGUCUGUACCUACAGGAGGCCCAGGGCCUGGCCUGCAGGUGGGAGCCCCAGGAGUGGAGGAAGAGGAAGAGGCCUCACCCCUGCAGGAGUCUUCCAGCAAGGCGGCAGGCACCACCCGCAGCCCAGAACCUGUGGCCCAUCGGCUGCUCUCCACCCGUGGUGUCUGCCUGCUGGGCCUGCUGGCCGUCACCAACGCUCUGACCAAUGGCGUGUUGCCUGCUGUGCAGAGCUACUCCUGCUUGCCCUAUGGGCGCCCAGCCUACCACUUGGCUGUGGUGCUGGGCAGUGCCGCCAACCCCCUCGCCUGCUUCCUGGCCAUGGGUGUUCUAUGCAGGUCCCUGGCAGGGCUGGGCAGUCUCUCCUUGCUGGGCAUGCUCUUUGGGGCCUACUUGAUGGCGCUGGCAAUCCUGAGCCCCUGCCCACCUCUGGUGGGCACCUCUGCAGGGGUGGUCCUUGUGGCCCCCACCUCCAGCUCCUGAGCAGGGCGCUUCCCUGACCCACUUCCAACCUGCGUAGAAGAGUCUCCUGGACGUCUGACCCUCUCAGAAAACCUCAAGCCAGGCCAGUGGGGGAAGAAGGCAGGACCUUCCUCGGCAGGACCACCCAGGAGGAGGUGGAAGAAGUUAACUGCAUGAUGACCAGGCUGUAGCCAUGACAGAAGCUGCCGCAAUUCCAAGAACUGGCCUCAAAGAAAAGGGAACAAACAGACCCUGGAACUGAAGAUUAACUGUACUUAAAACAAUCAAGAUGAUGCUGGUCAGACGACCAAAGACUAAUUUCAAGAUGACUGUCAGAGUUGACUGUGCUGUUUCUACACGUAGCCCCCUCCGUCUGUCUAUAAAAGCUCUUGCCCCCGAUUGCAGGGGGCGGGGGCAGUUGGCCUUUGGACAGGUGUCACCCCCCCACCAGUUGCUGGCAUCCAAAAU